rnacentral:rRNA from 1 species
UUUGACUGGGGCGGUCUCCUCCUAAAGAGUAACGGAGGAGCACGAAGGUUGGCUAAUCCUGGUCGGACAUCAGGAGGUUAGUGCAAUGGCAUAAGCCAGCUUGACUGCGAGCGUGACGGCGCGAGCAGGUGCGAAAGCAGGUCAUAGUGAUCCGGUGGUUCUGAAUGGAAGGGCCAUCGCUCAACGGAUAAAAGGUACUCCGGGGAUAACAGGCUGAUACCGCCCAAGAGUUCAUAUCGACGGCGGUGUUUGGCACCUCGAUGUCGGCUCAUCACAUCCUGGGGCUGAAGUAGGUCCCAAGGGUAUGGCUGUUCGCCAUUUAAAGUGGUACGCGAGCUGGGUUUAGAACGUCGUGAGACAGUUCGGUCCCUAUCUGCCGUGGGCGCUGGAGAACUGAGGGGGGCUGCUCCUAGUACGAGAGGACCGGAGUGGACGCAUCACUGGUGUUCGGGUUGUCAUGCCAAUGGCACUGCCCGGUAGCUAAAUGCGGAAGAGAUAAGUGCUGAAAGC